rnacentral:rRNA from 1 species
AGUCCCGCAACGAGCGCAACCCCUAUCCUUACUUGCCAGCGGGUAAUGCCGGGAACUUUAGGGAGACUGCCGGUGAUAAACCGGAGGAAGGUGGGGACGACGUCAAGUCAUCAUGGCCCUUACGAGUAGGGCUACACACGUGCUACAAUGGUCAGUACAGAGGGUUGCGAAGCCGCGAGGUGGAGCUAAUCCCAUAAAGCUGGUCGUAGUCCGGAUUGGAGUCUGCAACUCGACUCCAUGAAGUCGGAAUCGCUAGUAAUCGUGGAUCAGAAUGCCACGGUGAAUACGUUCCCGGGCCUU